AUGCGGUUUCACAUGCUUAGAACACUAACACCAAGGGUUUCGAGAUUCAAUAUUACCAUACUAUGCAGUUCCAUCACAUACAUCUAAAAAUAUGUGUCUACAUGAAACCUCAAAGAUGCAUCUCUUUCAGAAAAUAAUAAUAUUUAUCAUACAUUCAAACACCAAAAAACAGAGAUAAUAAGUAUUUUAAACACAUAAUGUAAUGUUCCACAGUCAAAGUAAAAUCAACCUUUUCUCAAUGCAUGAUACAAAAUUCCAGGAUGUCAUUCACAUGUUUAAAACAAUCAGCAGAGGUUUAGAGCCUAACACAAAACAAAUACUUUCAAGAUUUAACGAGUUUCUACAUGAGCAUAUUGUGUGUUCUCAGUUUCAAGAUCAAAUACUAUAGAAGUUACACAUAUGUCAAAAUAAAUAUCCAUAAGAGACUCUAAUAUGCAUACAUUAUAUAGGAUAAGAGACCUUAUGAUACAAAAGCAUUGAAACUUGGAGAAUAAAAUAAUUAAAACAAUACCUUAUGCUCAUGUAGAAACGCAAACACUUUUUAUGGUCUUGAAACUGAGAAAACACACAAUAUGCUCAUGUAAAGAAGAAAGCACAAUAUACACUUAACUGGAAAGCAUAUCUGAAAGAAGAAAGCACAUUUAUCCACAAAUAAAUCAUUUUAACAAAAAAAAUAAAAAGUAAUAAUGAUGAAUAGUGUCCCUUUCUAUACCUUAGAAAGACAAAAUUACGAGCUAAUAAAACAGAAAAAUGUUCUAUCGUAUGUAUGUGCAUCAAGUUCCAUAACCUAAGAGCACCUUAAGAGGAUUAGAGCUAUUUUGUUCAACUGCUCUCUAAUAUGAUGCUCAAGACAACUCACAUGUAUCAUACUACCAUUACUUCAACAUACAACAACAGAGAGCACAUUUAAUGAAGAUAAUUGACAUAUGCCAAGCAGAGUAUUACUCACAGAGU
rnacentral:lncRNA from 1 species